AGUGAACGCUGGCGGUAGGCCUAACACAUGCAAGUCGAACGGCAGCACAGUAAGAGCUGCCCUUACGGGUGGCGAGUGGCGGACGGGUGAGGAAUACAUCGGAAUCUACUUUUUCGUGGGGGAUAAAGGAGGGAAACUUACGCUAAUACCGCAUACGACCUACGGGUGAAAGCCGGGGGUCUUCGGACCUUGCGCGAUUGAAUGAGCCGAUGUCGGAUUAGCUAGUUGGCGGGGUAAAGGCCCACCAAGGCGACGAUCCGUAGCUGGUCUGAGAGGAUGAUCAGCCACACUGGAACUGAGACACGGUCCAGACUCCUACGGGAGGCAGCAGUGGGGAAUAUUGGACAAUGGGCGCAAGCCUGAUCCAGCCAUACCGCGUGGGUGAAGAAGGCCUUCGGGUUGUAAAGCCCUUUUGUUGGGAAAGAAAAGCAGCAGGUUAAUACCCCGCUGUUCUGACGGUACCCAAAGAAUAAGCACCGGCUAACUUCGUG
rnacentral:rRNA from 1 species